rnacentral:lncRNA from 1 species
GAUUGUGGAGUUGGAAGAUCUUCCACUCGCAUGAAAAUGAAGGGUAAUAUCGGUGCUUCGCCGGCUACAUCAACAAAUAUGUUUCGAGAAACAAUGAAAGUCAAUUUCAUAUCUACUUGAUUAAUGUGUCCUCAUAUUUUCUUUCCGUGUUCCAAUCUAUCUAUCUAUACAUAUAUUAAAGCUUGGAAUUCUAGGAUAGUGUGCUUCCCGCCAAGAGCCACAUCAAUUGGCCCAAUGUAUCUUUCUGAUUCUUAUCCGCUGGGUUUGAGAAUGCAGGCAGUUUCGGCUCCAACAGUACAGCCCACAUUUGAAUUUUGAAUUUUUUGGAGCCCAAAUUAUUGCUUUCUUUCUCUAUAAAUAUGAAGUAAUUUCAGACCAAAUUCACUCUGCAAACUCUCUCUCUAUUUUAUGGUUUUUAUUCUCUCUCUCUCUCUAUUUUAUGGUUUUUAUGUUUCUAUGUCGUACUCUCAUUUUUUGCAGUUUAGUUCUUCUAAUUCUUUUCUUUUUUGUUUUUAUGUUUAUAUGUAGUACUUUUAUUUUAUUUUUUGCUUUUGGCUAACUAUUAGUUACAUUUACAAUAGAGAUAGUAAGAGAUUAUUACAACAAUUAUUUCUAAUUUAUACAUGAAGAGGCUGAUAUUUUUCUGAAUUUUUCUUUCGAGAUGAAGAUGAAGAUCUGUAUCUAUCAAUAGAGCAUGAAAGCAUGAAAGUGAUUAUCUCUUGGAUCUGCAAAAGCAACCAAAAAAAUGAAUUUAGUAUAUUUUAAUGAUCAGGAAAUAGACUAUUGUAUAUGUAAAAUUUUUCUUCAUACCCACAAAGGAAUUGGUUUUUUUCUGUUAUUUUUCUGCUAAAACAAUUUUUUACUUAUUUUCAAGCAUCAUCAAUAGACUAAUCCGAGAAUCAGCUCAAAUUUUCUAGAAUCAUCAAAUUUUCAAAGAAAAAACCGAUAAUCAGUUUAAAUUCUUUUAAAUCAAAGAUGCAAAUAAAGAAAAAAAAGUGCAGUUGAAAUUCAUCAAAGAUGCAAAUAAAGUAAAAAAAAGUGAAAAUAGGUAAGAACAUAAAAUUAUGCGGAAAAAAAUAAAGAUGUUCAUAGAGAUCGAUGUUCAUGUUGAAAAAAAGGUGUUCAUAGAUCUGCAAAAUUGAUAUGCGAAGGUAAACAGCUUGGUGAUUCGCGCAUGCAAUGAGCAGACAAGAAGGAAGAAGAUGAGGAACAGAGAUUCAACAAAAGGAAGAAGACGAGGAACAGAGAUUCAACAAUGGAGACACGGAAAUAGCAGCCAAAUCAAAACUUACCAACAUAAAAACGCCUGCUCCAGACCUUAACAAUAAGGUCGCUCUCUCUUCUUCCUCUCUUCUUCUUCCUCUUCCUCCCAAAAAAGAACACCCAAAAAAGAACACCCAAUAGGGGAAAUCGGAUCAGUAAAAGAACACCCAAAAAAGAACACCCAAGAGGGGAAAUCGGAUCAGUAGCGCCUAGAGAGAAAUAAAUGAUACAUUGUUCGUUUAGGAAAAUGCGUGUAGAAAUUCAUAGAUCUAAAAUGACACAAAAAAGAUGAAUAACUAAAAAAAUGAAAAACGAAUAUUCUAAAUAGCAUAAACUCUAUUCCUUCAAAAAAUAUGAGAAGAGAAAUUGUGGAAUCCACAUAAACUCUAUCAGGUAUGAGAAGAGAAAUUGUAAAAUACAAAGUGAAAGGCUACUUUUAUCCCCUCAAAAUUUGUGGAUAUCGUUUAAAUGAACAAAAAAAUAAUAACUCAGAAAGGAAAAUUAAACAUGGAGAACGAUAGAAAUAAAGAUGCAGACGAGGGAGCAGGCCGAGAUCUGGAGGCUAGGGCUUGGGCGACGCCGUAGUUUGAAACCCGUACGGCGGCGACUGAAUACAGGCUGUGCAGUGGCGCAUUUAUCGUCGUCGAGGAGAGUGGCGACGCCACUGAGUUGCGCCAGUGCCUAGAUGUGAGGGCGGAGUUGGUGGCUUAGGGAUCUAGGGCUUUUGGACGGCGGCUUGCCGUGAUACAGUUGCAGGUUUUUCGCCGGCAGAGGAUGAGGCGAAGGGAGAGAGAAGAUGAUGGAAAGCUUCUCGCGGGCAGCGUCGCAUGUGGAAAGGAGGAAUGUUUCGUUUCGACUGGGAGAAGAAACGAGAGAGAAGGCGCGGCGCUGAACCUUAAAGUGAGGGGAUGAAUAUUUGAGCUGUAUUUUAGGGUUGAAAAUAUAGAUGGGUUGUAUUUAAUUUAAUUGGGCUGAAUUUUUGGGUUGAAAAUAUAGAUGGGCUGUAUUUAAUUUAAUUGGGCU